AACGAACGCUGGCGGCAGGCUUAACACAUGCAAGUCGAGCGCCCCGCAAGGGGAGCGGCAGACGGGUGAGUAACGCGUGGGAAUCUACCCAUCUCUACGGAAUAACGCAUGGACACGGGUGCUAAUACCGUAUACGUCCUUCGGGAGAAAGAUUUAUCGGAGAUGGAUGAGCCCGCGUUGGAUUAGCUAGUUGGUGGGGUAAAGGCCUACCAAGGCGACGAUCCAUAGCUGGUCUGUGAGGAUGAUCAGCCACACUGGGACUGAGACACGGCCCAGACUCCUACGGGUGGCAGCAGUGGGGAAUAUCGGACAAUGGGCGCAAGCCUGAUCCAGCCAUGCCGCGUGAGUGAUGAAGGCCCUAGGGUUGUAAAGCUCUUUCACCGGUGAAGAUAAUGACGGUAACCGGAGAAGAAGCCCCGGCUAACUUCGUGCCAGCCGCCGCAGUAAUAC
rnacentral:rRNA from 1 species